rnacentral:tRNA from 1 species
GGAGAGUUGUCCGAGUGGUUGAAGGAGCACGCCUGGAAAGUGUGUAUCCCGCUAAAGCGGGAUCAAGAGUUCGAAUCUCUUACUCUCCG